GAAAGUAUUGUGAGCCAUAUGUACAUAGGAACACUGUGUUAUGUACCUAAACGGGGAAGUACAUGACUUUGAACUGAUUCACCUUAGGGACAUGAUUAGCUUUCCAAAAUGGGCUGCCUUCUCAGAGCAUCAACAGAGGAGUAUCAGAGAAAACAUGGAGAGUACAAGAGAGGAGACUGCAAAGGACUCAGUGCAAAACUUACAGGGAAAAUGGAAUAUAUGUGACCAAUUUAUUCCAGAGCUGACAGAUUUGGAUGAAGUGGCUUGACCCCUUUUCCUGCUAUCCUUUAGAAAGCCAACUUCCUUGUGAGUUCCAUUCCAAGGCCUGGAGUCAAAUAAGCAAAGGCCACUUAGCA
rnacentral:lncRNA from 10 species